GAUGAAGAACGUAGCGAAACGCGAUACGUAAUGUGAAUUGCAGAAUUCAGUGAAUCAUCGAAUCUUUGAACGCACAUUGCGCCCCUUGGUAUUCCAUGGGGCAUGCCUGUUCGAGCGUCAUUUGUACCCUCAAGCUUUGCUUGGUGUUGGGCGUCUUGUCGUAUUACGACUCGCCUUAAAUACAUUGGCAGCCGGCACUUUGGCCUAGGAGCGCAGCACAUUUUGCGAUCGUAGCCCGUUGUACUGGCGUCCAUCAAGAACAUUUACCACGUUUGACCUCGGAUCAGGUAGGGAUACCCGCUGAACUUAAGCAUAUCAAUAAGCGGAGGA
rnacentral:misc_RNA from 1 species